GGGUCGUUAGCUCAGCUGGUAGAGCAGCGGACUUUUAAUCCGUUGGUCACAGGUUCGAAUCCCGUACGGCCUA
rfam:Burkholderia choica isolate LMG 22940 genome assembly, contig: contig000010